UACGGAGGGUGCAAGCGUUGUUCGGAAUCAUUGGGCGUAAAGCGCGUGUAGGCGGUUUCGUAAGUCUGAUGUGAAAGCCCGGGGCUUAACCCCGGAAGUGCAUUGGAUACUGUGAAACUAGAGGACGAGAGAGGGAAGCGGAAUUCCUGGUGUAGGGGUGAAAUCCGUAGAUAUCAGGAGGAACGUCGGAGGCGAAGGCGGCUUCCUGGCUCGUAACUGACGCUGAGACGCGAAAGCGUGGGUAGCAAACAGG
rnacentral:rRNA from 1 species